AAUCUUCCGCAAUGGACGAAAGUCUGACGGAGCAACGCCGCGUGAGUGAUGAAGGCUNNNGGGUCNUCAAACUCUGUUGUCAGNGACNAACAUCCGGGAUGACCUCCCGGUCUGACGGUACCUGAUCAGAAAGCCCCGGCUAACUACGUGCCAGCAGCCGCGGUAAUACGUAGGGGGCAAGCGUUGUCCGGAAUUAUUGGGCGUAAAGCGCGCGCAGGCGGUUUCUUAUGUCUGGUGUGAAAGCCCGCAGCUCAACUGCGGAGGGCCACUGGAAACUGGGAGACUUGAGUGUAGGAGAGGAGAGCGGAAUUCCACGUGUAGCGGUGAAAUGCUUAGAUAUGUGGAGGAACACCCGUGGCGAAAGCGGCUCUCUGGCCUAUAACUGACGCUGAGGCGCGAAAGCGUGGGGAGCGAAC
rnacentral:rRNA from 1 species